UCAGCCAUCAUCGUGUAGAAACCACACCUAAACCUAGCGUCUUCCCACAAUAACCGUUUGCUCAUAACUCCUCCACAGUGGGGCCAGGAGGCUUUUCUCUGUCUGGUGUGGGUUUCUGCACAUCGGAGGCAUGUGGGACAUCCAGGGACCGCUCUACCUCAUUUUCCUUCCUUGUCCUUUACAGGCUUCUCAUCCACAGGAUGGCAGACUGAACAUGGCUUCUCAGGGCAUCAGAUCAGUGGGGGAGACUGCUCUAGGGCCCUCUGUGCCUGUACUCAGAAUUCCUGUGGUCUUCUAUGUCACCAAGGGAAAAAAGUGAAUGAGUGCUUUCACCAGAGGCCUCCAGGAAGGCUCAGCUCCAGGAGACAAAACCCAGGCAAACAAUCAGCUUAAAGGAAGCUUCCCUUGAGGCCUGGGGAGAGAUGCGUGGGGCUGAGAAAACUUUUCCAGGCUGUGGGAAGAGCUGCUGUGGACUCUGAACUUAUCCUUGCUCCUUCCUGAACACCAUUUCGAGAACAUCUCUGGUGCGGAUGUUAACCAGACGAACCGUACAAGCCAUGCACCUCCAAGUGGAGGUUCCUCUGGCUGUUCUGAAACUUCGGGGAACAGAAUGACUUUUUCAGGACUCUGGCUUUUCAGGGCUUAUUGGUAUGAAGAGACACCAGGACCAUGGCAACCCUUAUAAAGGAGAACAUGUAAUUGAGGCUGGCUUACAGUUUUUAGAAGUUUAGUCCAUGAUCAUCAUGGUGGGAACACAGCAGCAUGCAGGCAGACAUGGGGCUGGAACUGGAGCUG
rnacentral:lncRNA from 1 species